ACGGAAGGCAGCAGUGGGGAAUAUUGCACAAUGGGGGAAACCCUGAUGCAGCGACGCCGCGUGAGUGAAGAAGUAUCUCGGUAUGUAAAGCUCUAUCAGCAGGGAAGAAAAUGACGGUACCUGACUAAGAAGCCCCGGCUAACUACGUGCCAGCAGCCGCGGUAAUACGUAGGGGGCAAGCGUUAUCCGGAUUUACUGGGUGUAAAGGGAGCGUAGACGGUUCUGCAAGUCUGAUGUGAAAGGCAGGGGCUCAACUCCUGGACUGCAUUGGAAACUGUAGAACUAGAGCGCCGGAGAGGUAAGCGGAAUUCCUAGUGUAGCGGUGAAAUGCGUAGAUAUUAGGAGGAACACCAGUGGCGAAGGCGGCUUACUGGACGGUAACUGACGUUGAGGCUCGAAAGCGUGGGGAGCAAACAGGAUUAGAUACCCUGGUA
rnacentral:rRNA from 1 species